rnacentral:rRNA from 1 species
AUUGAACGCUGGCGGCAGGCCUAACACAUGCAAGUCGAACGAGUGGCGGACGGGUGAGUAAUGUCUGGGAAACUGCCCGAUGGAGGGGGAUAACUACUGGAAACGGUAGCUAAUACCGCAUACCAUCGGAUGUGCCCAGAGUGGAUUAGCUAGUAGGUGGGGUAACGGCUCACCUAGGCGACGAUCCCUAGCUGGUCGGAGCGGAUGACCAGCCACACGGUAACUGAGACACGGUCCAGACUACUACGGGAGGCAGCAGGGGGGAAUAUUGCACAAUGGGCGAAAGCCUGAUGCAGCCAUGCCGCGUGUAUGAAGAAGGCCUUCGGGUUGUAAAGUACUGUCAGCGAGGAGGCGUUACUCGCAGAAGAAGCACCGGCGAACUCCGUGCCAGCAGCCGCGGUAAUAC